UGUAAGCGUAUACCAAAGUUGUUGCAGUUAAAACGCUCGUAGUCGGAAUUUGGCAGUUCCGGAUGUGUGCACGUCGUGUGCGCACUUCGCGGGGAUUGCUUUUGUGGUCUUGCGUAGGAUGAGGCACUUUUAUUAGUGAACGUCCUCACGCAACCACUUUUUACUGUGAGAAAAUCAGAGUGCUCAAAGCAGGCAUUUGCCGUGAAUGUAUUAGCAUGGAAUAAUAGAAUAGGACUUGGUUCUAUUUUGUUGGUUUGUUGGGACUGAGUAAUGAUUAAGAGGCACAGUUGGGGGCAUUUGUAUUUCGGUGCUAGAGGUGAAAUUCUUAGAUUACCGAAAGACAAACUGCUGCGAAAGCGUCUGCCAAGGAUGUUUUCAUUGA
rnacentral:rRNA from 1 species